AACGUAGGAGGCAAGCGUUAUCCGGAAUUACUGGGCGUAAAGCGUGCGUAGGUGGUCGUUUAAGUCCGUUGUGAAAGCCCUGGGCUCAACCUGGGAACUGCAGUGGAUACUGGGCGACUAGAGUGUGGUAGAGGGUAGCGGAAUUCCUGGUGUAGCAGUGAAAUGCGUAGAGAUCAGGAGGAACAUCAGUGGCGAAGGCGGCUACCUGGCCCAUUCUUGACGCUGAGGCGCGAAAGCUAGGGGAGCAAACGGG
rnacentral:rRNA from 1 species